CCAUUCAAAUUCCCAGCCUUCAGUCUCUCUUUAUUUAUUUAUUUUUUUUUAGAUGUAGAUGUUUCACAGGCUGGGCAGCAGCUGUGGGGGCACAGGUGGCAUGUGGCCUGGUGUAAGAUCAGAACACAUCAACCAGCCAGAACUGAGAGUGGUCAAGCUGGUCCUCAAGUGCUCUUAAACAGUUCAGAGACAUCACCCCCCCCCCAUAAUGUCAAGCAUUGUGAUGGUCAGCUACAUCAACCAUCAGAGUGGCAUGAAACCGCACUACCGUAUCUGCCUUGAAGGAAAUCUGCUCAGGAAGGCAAGAAUGCAGCUGGACAGUAUCCAAUCCUCAGACCAGCUGUUCAUCUGUCAUGACAGAAGGACACAGUGGGCUCCUUCUCUAAGCAGAUUCUUGCCGCAACAACACAAUUCCUCAUAACAUUGUUUGUAUACAUGAUCUAGGUGAUUCUCCUAGCCCCUGGUAGUUAGGAGGGUUUAUUGAUUUCUUUACUACAAACUAUAGUGAAAUGUUUUGUAUGUUAGAUACUGUAUCAUAGGUGUUUAUUGUUGUAUCCCAAACUCAGCUUAACAACUCAAAAGAUAAUAGACACAAUAUAAUUUAGAGUAGAGAUACUGUAACUGUCAAUAAUUCACCACAUCUAACAAGGUGACGUGUUUCAUUUGAAUUGUUUGUUACUGAAGAAAACAAACUGAAUGCCACCAGAAAACACACUUCCUUGAUUCUCACCAAACAUCCUCACACAAGCCCUUCGCAUUCUAAUCAUGCAAACCUGUUGCCAAUGUACUGUUGUCAUUGUCUGUACAGAUCUUCCUCAGUCAGUUUGUUUCAUUGCUAA